AGCGGCUGCAGCGCCCUGUUCUUUAACCUUCUGAGAUUAUUUUAUCAUUUAUUUAUCUCAAAUGUGAAUUGCGUUCUACUUUCCCCUCGCACAGAAUUUCAUCCAUAUGGACGUUAUUCUGACCCUGAAAGGUGUCCGUGGAUUACCGUCUCCUCUGUCUCUGCCACAGAAAUCUUUUAAGAAAUUAACGUAGAAAGGUUUAAAGAUUUCUAUCAUCACAACCUCUGAAAGCUCAGUUUGGGACCAGAAUCGUGGAGAAAGUCGAGCCGGGGAACCGAGGCUCCACUGUACACAGCAGGACACAGUUAACCAAAAGACAAAGUCUGUUGCAAAUGUCCAUAAACAGCCAGCAGUCGCUGCAGGAGCCCUGUUCCUCCCGCACCUGGAGGCUGAGCCAACCCCCAGCUCCCAGCGCAGACCGAGUGGCCAGAGCACAGACCUCCUUCUGGACGGCUGGAUUGCCCUGCCCCUUUAGGGCCAGCUUCCCUCCCGCAUUUACUGGAGCCGGGACCUUGGGGCGCCCCUCACCUUCUGGGGUUUGGUUUGGUUUGGUCCUUCACGCUCCUGUCCCAGCUGCCAGAAAGUUCCAUGGACCAAGCCUUCAAACCUGACCGGCCUUUCCCCCUUUCCUGUGGUUUGCUGGUGUCAGGGCAGAGCCUUGGGCCUCGGCACACAGGCUCAGGCCCUGCCCCACAGGGCUUUCAGCCCCCCGACUUCCUGCCCGGUGGCGCCAGGCCCUCCCCCAGCCUGCCCCAUUUCACGGCUGCCCUCUGGUCUGCUCCCAGCGCAGGGGCAGAGGGGCGAGCAGGGGUGCCCAUCGGGUGGUGGCUGAACUUCCCACGUCCCUGGAAGGUCCACCGGCUCUUCUGCAGGCCUCCUCUCAUACCGCAGGCCGCCAGUGCUGCUCUUCCUCCGAGACGUAGUGGCCCGCGCAGGCCUCCAAGCCCCACCUGGGCCUCCUCCGCCUGGUGGUCUCCCCCGCUCCUUGCCUAGCUUCACUCAGUACCACCUCCCCAGUUGCCUCCCUCUCAGCCAGAGGUCCAGGGAAACGGCAAUAACAGAGCUAGAGACAGAUUUAUCAGGAGAAUUUGUGCACAUGACUGUGAAGGCUAAAAAGCCCAGAGUCUGCAGUGCACAGGCUGGAGGUGCAGGGAGUCUGAGGGUGCCCUUGCCCACAUUUGGGGGUGAGCUCUGGGGACAGAGGCCGUGGCCACCCCAGCUCACACCCGUUCAGGACACACACCCACCCCUCCACUUUGUUCUCUCCAGGCCUUCAUUGGGGCGGAUGGGCCCACUUGGGGUGCAGUCGGUGAUCUUGCUCUGUCCCCCAGUCUCCCAUCUCCAGAAACGUCUCCUGGUCACAGAACCACCUCCGCCAGGUGUCCGGGCCUCCCCCAGCCCAGGCAGUGGACACAGGGCCCCAGCGACUGGGUUGUGGUUGUGUAGCGCAGGGCGGGGAGGUGUCAUUGCUCUUGUCCCUAAGCUUUGAAGUGGACGUCCAACCUGCUGUGGGCUCAUGGCCUGUGAGGCUGGGGUGAGAGCCCGGAAAGGCAGGCUUGUGGGGCUGCAUGAGGGAGCAAAGAGGGCAAAGCUUUUGCUCUCCUCUGGCUUUUCUUAGGUUCUUUCCUCCUCUUAUUUCAAAGGCUAAUUCUGAGAACUCAGGGAGCCAUUGAGAUGUUCAGGCGAUUUGCAUAUGGACAUUUAUAGUCUUCCAAAUCUUUUAACAUUUAAAAAUUGAGCUUACCAUAUUUAGUAAAAUAUUACUGGUUGAUUUCUGCUUAUUUGUUUUAUUUUUAGCCUAUAAUGGAUUUUUAUAGUUGUGAAGGAGGCAAAACCUUCUGUAAAAACCAUGCUUCACCCCACCUUCACACAUGGAUUCUUUAGGAUUCUGAGUUACAAUUGGUGGUGUUGUAAGGUGACCUCUAACUAGUAACUUAAAAGGCCAACUCCUACGGUUUCUAUGCUUAUCUCCUUCAUUCUGGAGCAUUUUCUGGAUUCCCGAUAUGCGUCAACUGUGGAAACAGAUGGGUAAAUUAUGGACAUCUCAUAGAUGCAGCUUCUAUGGGACAAAAUACUCUGUGUGACAGUAACUACUCACUCCCGCGGGUGCGUGGAGUACCACCUUCAUUAAACAGGCUGGGAAACUUACCGCCGAGGGGUGUGAACGCACACAGAUACGUGUGUGCACACACACACGUGCACACACACACUUACUGUACGCAAUUCACUUUUGGAAGCUUUAAACACCCUUUUUUAAAAGUCCUCAAAUCCAGCUUAUAGUUUGGGAAGAUAAAUCUAUUUUGGUUUCCCACAAUGCUUUAUAUUACAGUAUGGUAA